GCGUAAAGCGUGCGUAGGCGGCUUAUUAAGUCGGAUGUGAAAUCCCCGAGCUUAACUUGGGAAUUGCAUUCGAUACUGGUGAGCUAGAGUAUGGGAGAGGAUGGUAGAAUUCCAGGUGUAGCGGUGAAAUGCGUAGAGAUCUGGAGGAAUACCGAUGGCGAAGGCAGCCAUCUGGCCUAAUACUGACGCUGAGGUACGAAAGCAUGGGGAGCAAACAGGAUUAGAUACCCUGGUAGUCCAUGCCGUAAACGAUGUCUACUAGCCGUUGGGGCCUUUGAGGCUUUAGUGGCGCAGC
rnacentral:rRNA from 1 species